GUAAAGCAGAGUGUAAGAAGGAUUAUGGGCACAAUCCUGGAAAACUGUAUUACCAUGAAAUUGAAUUGGCUAGGGAGAGGGGACAAGACUGUUUUUUUCUCGUAUGAUCCUUAAAGAUGUUUUAAUAAGUAAGUAUUACACUUUAUGAGUUCUUAGUGGCAAAUUAUACCCACAAAUCUUUCUAAUACUUAUGAAUAUCUGACCAUUAGCAUGAUUAGACGAAUUACCAAUAUUAAAAAAAAAGAAAAAAAAAAGAUUGGUUAUUUAAGAUUUUAUUUUGUAUUAAAUAGUGUUUAAAAUAUAAAGAGUAUACAUUAAUUUAUAUUACAUAUCUAUAUAGGGAGAUUACGCACGCAUGCAUUAGGCAAAUACACAAUUCAAGUUUACUUAUAACUUUAUUACAGAGUCGGUUAGAAAAAACCGUAGCUGUAAAGAGUCUUCAGAUAAGGAGAUAGAGGAUGCAGCUAAAGAUUGGCUGCGGUUUAGCCUUGACAGAGAAGGUGGCAGGAAACAGAGAAGGGAAAGAAAGAAUAACAUAAAUAAUAAUGACACUGUUGAAAUUCAAAAUUGAGGAGGACCAUACUCGUGGUGAC
rnacentral:lncRNA from 1 species